AAGUAAUGAAGACAUGAGAAGGAACUAUGUCGGAAGACGCCACAAUCGCCACGAUCAAGAUGCUGUUGUUGAAUGUUUCAAAGUUUAUAAGCUGGAUGAAGAAUGGGGAAAAUGGGUUGAUGUGAAAAAUUUGAAAGAUAGAGCUUUCAUUUUGAGCAAAAGCUGUAACUUUUCUGUUUCAACUAAAGAAUUGAUUGGAUAUCAAGGGAAUUGCAUCUACUUUAGGGAUGCUUUUGAUGUGAGAAUGUAUAAUCUGGAUGAUCAUAGUGUCACUACUGUUGAUUUUAAUCCUUGCAUUGACAAGACUUUGUGGUCUCGUUCACCUUGGAUAAGAUGUUAGAGGACAAAAACAGUUUCAAAGUGAAGAGUGUCAAUAUGAAGAAGAAUGUCUCUACCUAAAGAAAUGCAGAAUGUAGAGCCUACUAAUAUUUGCUAAUUGAUGUUUGUUCUGCUAGCUAGAAAUGCAGAGUGUAGAAAUAUAUAUAAUGAGAUUAAAUUAAACAAACCUACACAGUAUUAAACUGUGUAAGUUAAGGAUGGAAGGCUAUGUGAUAUGCAUAUAGUUAUUAUUCCCUAGUGCUGGAACAAUAUAGCAAAUAAUGUAUAUAUGGAUUUUGAAGGAUUAAUAUGUUUCAUACCAAACUUGAUUGUUGUCCUCAGUCUCAAUUCAAAAGCGUUCUUCUCCUGCCGGUUGCCUAAAUCACAACAAAUUUGAACUAAUCAGUGUAUUUACAUUUUCAAUAGAUUUGUUUGUGAAAAGGUCAAUGACAAGAUAAUAUGAAAAUAACAUACCAUUCUAAAUCCUGCAAGUUUACCUAAGGCUGAGUGUAGAGGGCAGACACAACAUUUUGGCAUAAAAAAUGGAACGUUGGCUAAAUUUUUUGUUUAUUUGCUAGAUGAUCAAGUUUGUUGACUCACCUAUUUUUCUUUGUAACAACUAACAAGACAAGAAUCAAUCACAUACAAGUAAUCAUUGUUCGACUAUAAGCAAAAAAUGAGAUUAAAUUAUGUAGUUUGAGGAUUGAAUCCUACCAACAUGGCAUCUUCUGCAUAUUCUCUUACUAUAAUCUAGCUUGUUUCUGUCAUUUUCCUUUUUGACAAGAAGCUUGUUUCUGUCUUGAUUCAUUAUCAGUUAAGAAUUUAUGGUCAAAACAUGAAAUUAUAACUCUACACUAUUCGGUCAUUACAUGAUCAUGGUUUUCCUGAUAAAAAGGAUUGAUACUUAGAUUUUCUAGUUUGAAUGUGUCAAAACAGUUUUAGGUAUCAGCCAGAUGCUUGCUCAUUCAUCCACCUGAAUGAUAUUUCACAAGAACAUCUAUGAUAAACUAUGAAGAACACACACCGACACAGACAUUGACACGUCAACACCAAUAAUAAUUAAGACGAAGAGUGUCAAUAUGAAGAAGAAUGCCUCUCCCUAAAGAAAUGCAGAAUGUAGAGACUGGAGACUAUUAUUUGCUUAUUUAUGUUUGUUCUGCUACAAGUAUAUAAUGAGAUUAAAUUAAACAAACCUACACAGUUGAUUAAACUGUGUAGGUUAAGGAUGGAAGGCUAUGUUAUGUACAUCCGAAUGAAAUCUUCUACAUGUCGUCUUUAUUGUCAAUGCAUCUGCAUAUAGUUAUUAUUCCAUAGUGCUGGAACAAUAUAGCAAAUAAUGUAUACAUGGAGUUUGAAGGAUUAAUGUGUUUCAUACCAAACUUGAUUGUUGUCCUUGGUCUUAAUUCAAAAGCGUUCUUCUCCUGCCGAUUGCCAAAA